AUUCAACUUUUUUGUUCCCAAUUCCGUUAACGAUCAGACGAUCAGUUAAUUUACAAAUUGCUAUUCACAGUUUAAAUAAUUACUGAUUUGGAUUAAUCUAGACUAUUUUAAAUUGUCUCCUCUCCAAGAUAUCAAUGUGACCAUAGAAUUGUUUCUUAUUUUCUGGAUUAAUCUCCAAAAUGUAUUCUCAACAAGUUCAUUUACAUUAAAUGUGUCUUAUCAUCUGAUCAUCAUCAUCAUCUAAUUUCCCUGAUCAUUUUGUCUAUUAAAGACGGUGAAAGUUAAUUGUCUCUAUUGAUUGGUUGGUUAUCUGUGCCUUUGUUGUUGCUCGUUUCAUACCAUUAAUUUAGUUUGAUUGUUGAUGCGUAACCAAAAACCUCUGGUUUUGUAUCCAUUUAUACAGAGUAUAGUUAUUUUAUUAUAAUAACAUAUUAUUCAAGAAUAGACUGAAUCCUAAUUUUGAUGAAUUGGGUGUGGCCACCUUUUUAGUUAACUAAUUAAUUACUGGUAAGGUUAGAAUCAAAUUCUGAGGGUUGACUGAUUGUGCUUAACAACCAAUUCAAUCAUUUUAUUAUUAAUGUAUCAGACACAAAGGAAAAGAUGAUUACUUUAAAUGUAAAAUGUAACUGUGUAUUGUUGAGCUGCUACCAUUUACAGUAACCAGAUGACUGUAUGAGUCAAAACCUUAAUUGGUUACAUAUUUAUCAAAUUAAAUAUUAACCAAUAAUCAAAUCAAUAAGAUGAAUUGGUUAAACUAGAGUAAAGAGAUACAAAUGUGAAAAGCUUGUCGAGUUGCAAAUUUCAUCUAAUAGCUUCACUGAACUACAGAUUACAACUGAAUGGAUACUUAAAUAGAGACUUAAUAGUUGAUCAACCCUUCAACAAGAAAUCAAUUAAUGACUGAUGAUAAUCAGGUAAGAUGAACAUGAUAGAUUGAAACAACAACAGUAACAAGAAGUGAAACAAAUGUUGCCAUUUAACAAACGUCUUUUUACCUGAUAAACAUAAGAAUAGAGGAAACUCAUGAAACUGGAAAAGCAAAGUCAGAUUGUUACCAGCAAAGGUCCAUUAAAAAGGCUGCCAUCAUCAAAAAGCUCAACUUCAAGUGAAACCAUAUCGAAGGGGAAAAAAUGUAAAUUUUCACCAUUGAACCAUAUUGACCAUAACUUCAAGCCUCAAGAAAGCUAUUUCAUGGGCAAUAUCAACGAUCAACUGAAAGAGAUGAAUGAUAAAAUGGAGCAACACCGAGAAUCAGUGAUUUCGUUAGCUUUUCUGGAACUGGAGUCAAAAGUAAACUUGGUUACAUCUCCUUCAGAAAUGUUGUUUAAUAGGAAUCGGGAAUCUAGUUAAGUCAAUGAAGGAAGCAAAGCUGUUCCAAGGCUGAAGUGAUUCUGUUCAAGAGUUACUCCAAACCCAGUCUUAAUACCCAUGAGUCUUUAACCUUCUUAACCUAUACUCAUCUUCCUAUCUUCUUACCCUUCAUUUGAUACUUUUAUCCUUUUCUUCAUCUUCUCAUCUUCUUUUGUUUCCUCUUCCUUUUCCUCCCAUUGACAGCACUACCAGUCAACAUCAACAGCUCAACACUUUCCAAGUCAUUUGUACAAAUAACCCAAACCAAUGGUAAAAACACAAUUUUCCUGUUUACCGUUUUCACAAUCAAUCUACAGUUGAAUCCAUUUCUCAUGAGAGUUUACCAUUUUCAUGGAUUCAAGCCCGAUCACCAUAAAUGGCCAUCAUGCAAAGCUAUCACAAUUAUCAGAAAUUAAUAUUUUACUUGGAAUGUUGCCGUCGCUCAAACCAAUACAUAAUGAAUCUCAACAUUUGGUUUCAGGUUAUGAUGAAGAUGAUGAAAAAAAGGGUUUACCUUGUUUAUCAACAACCUCAACCUCCAGGGUAAUCAACAAAUCAAUGAUUUGAAGAGCAACCUUAAGCAGAAUCAACAAACAAGACAAACAGAGAAAUGCGAAGAGAAAAGGAAAAUAUGGCGAAAAAAAUGAACAAAAUUUCAGUGUAAUUCAAUUGUUUCACAAUUUAAAUCCGCAAUCUUUUUCCCAUUCCUUAUGGUUACUUGUUUCAUCUGAUCAAAUAGGGUGAUACAUGGAAAAGUUGUUCAUCUUUUUACUCCCAAAGACACCUUUCAAUUGUAAACUCAACCUUCCCAGUUGUUAUUAUUAUUGUUACAAUAAUAACACAACAAAAUUGGAGCAGCAAAAAAAGUAAACUUGAUUCAAGUUUAUUACCUUUAGGCUAAUUGUAUUUAUAUAUAUUAUUUUGUCUUCCAGUUUUGAUUCAAUAUUUUUCACCAUUUUCAUCUUGAAUCCCAAAAAAAUGGUUUUCAUCUCGUUUCUGUUUGCUUUUGUUGGUUAGUUUAAUUUUACCAAAUCAAUUGACUUUAACCAAUUUAUUGUUGCUCUUUUCAAUUCAAUUAUUAACCUUUCGUUUAAAAGACAAUUUGUUUGAUUUUUUGUUCAAUUCAAUUUCAACUGAUUUAAGAGCAAGGUUUAAGUCGCCAUUAACAUCUAAUUGUUAAAACUGGCUUUUACCUUUUCUGCCUUUUUUACAACCUUUUGAUUCGGUUUAAGGUUAAUCAUAAUGGAUAAUUAACCAAGAAAAAUGUCCCAAAUGAAUUGAAACCCAAAAUUCUGAUUGGCAUAUUCAAAGGCUAAUUUACCUGCAAUUCCCAGAUGAAAAUCUCAACUCAACCAGUUACUCAUUGUGAUUAAACUUCUUGGUUUGAUUAUUGGAUGAUUUGGUGACAGGUUUGCAUGAUAAUUCAUAUUAAACGUUUCAUUGUCCAAAGAGAGUCAAGAGACUGACCAAGGUUUCCCAGGUAAUCGUAAUCAAAUCUGUUAAUCAUUAUGUAAAUUUACUGAUCGAUUGAACCAGAAUUAACCAAAAAAGAAGAAAAUGAAUUCAAUCUUUCCUUCAAAUGAACACCAAUCAAUCAUCUGAAUAGGAAUGGAAUCAGAAUGAUGAACAUUUUUCAAGUAUGAAGUUUGAUCGUUAAAAGUGAACAACAAAUCUUGACAAUUAAUCAUAAUUGUAUCUCAAUUAGAUUGAUUGGAAAGCAAAUUGCCAGAAAAACAAAACAAAACCUAAAAACUGAAAAGUGAAACCUUUUAUUACUUGGUUAGUUAAUAGUUGAUAUGAAUAAGUAAAUUGAGUUUGAAGCUGUAAAUUUGCUUCUACCAAUUAAACCAAUUGGCCAACCAGUUUUCACAUUCAAUUAUCUUGACUUUCAUUCAGAUUAUCAUUUGUUACAAUUAAUAUUUAUUUUCAUACAAUAUCAGAUGUCUAUAGUGAUACUGGGAGUGAAACACUCCAACAUUGUUAAGGUUUUGUGUUGAAAAAUUGAUGAACAGAAUCAUCAAUUUUACCUUAUUUUUUUGGUGUAACUUGUUCCGAGCAACUGUAACUUUCAUUACCUAACAUUUUUACCUCAUCUUUUAAUCAUAAGCCAACAAUUGUGCUAAUCUAUUAUCAACCAAAUUCACUCUGUUAUUAAUCUAUUACAAUGGCUUUGAUACUUUUCCUCUUCACUGUCAUCAAACCAUUUUUACCAUUUUUAGUAGCUUCCAUUACUCAGACAAUUAGAUUGUCCAAUUCAAUACAAUCCUCAAUCAAGUCAACUAUUAGAUUAGUUGUUAUCUUAAUCUAGGCCUGAUGAUCAUAAAAACUGGUCAAUCAUGAAAUAAUAAUUUGAUAACUGAUUGAAUACGCGAAACUGGUUUAAACAAAACGUCUUUUUGCUUUUCUGGUUCAACUCAAUGGUCAAUGACAAUUCUGGUUUACUUUGAUCAUGAUUAAAGGUAAACAGUUAGUUUGUCUUGAUUGUAUCAUUUAGAGACACAAAAGUGUCAGUUAAAGCAAUACUUGAACAUGUAACAAAACCAUAAAAAAAAGGUUGUCUCGUUUAUUCAUUGUCUCAUAAUGGUUUGAGUGAUUUUCACUGAUGAAAUCCUGAUGGAAACAAGUCGAUAAACAUUAUUACGAUUAUCAUUAACCAUCAUGAUUGUCUUUGAUCAGUUUCGAUGAUCAUAAUCAUCAGAUUAUCAUGAUUAAUAUUGAUAAAGGAAAGGCCUAAGCAGGACCAUUAUACCAAAUCAAUCUGUUGAUAAAAACAUAUGGUCAAUGUUGCUGUUUAUUUACAAUAACAGUAAUACUGAUUAUAAUAAUGUUGAUGAUGAUAAUAAUAAUAACAGUGAUGAUAAAAGGUUGAAAGACAACCCAGAAUCAACAAAAAGACCAACCUUAAUGUUGAUGAUGAACAAGGAACCAAACUAAUCAGAUUUAUGUUAGGCCCAACCUUAACUGUUUAUAAUGAACAUCGGGUCAUCUUUUCAUGAUAAUCACAAUGAAGAUGAAAAAUCAUCUUGAUUGUUGUUGACUAAGCAAACAUUAAUAGACUAGGUGUGCCUCUCAUUGGUUCAUUAAUGAUCUUUAUCAUCAUUAUUAUGAUUAUCAUGUUCAUCACCAUAAUGAAAUACUAAUGUUGAUUCCAAAUUAUCAUCAAUUUUUACUCUCUUUAUUAACUUGAUGACAUUUAUUUUCAAUUAACUUUUAUAUUUUUUACCUUUUCUCCUCAUAUUGCAACCUUUUUUUCAACCUUUUAUGUUAGUAUUACCUUUGUUUUGGGUCUCUGUUAACCAGAAAUUUGGUGUUAAUCAUUGACUGUAAAUUGUAUUUUACCAAUCAAUAAGUAAUUGAAGACUUAACUGUCUUCCAAAAGGGUUAGCAGUUAAUGAAACUCAAAUGAUACUCAACUUUUGUACUCUCAUUAGAUGGUUUUUUGUACAAAUAAAUUGUCAUUGACUUUAAUAACCGCUGUUCAAUUGUUUAAACACGCAAUGAUGAUUUAAAACAAUCUUGAAAAUUGUUGAUAUUGAUUAUUAUAGCAAUCAACUCAUUGCAACAAUUGAAGUUGAAUAAAAUGAUAUCUUAAGCCUUAACAAACAACCUUUUUGAUGAAAAAACACAAUUUGACUUUUCGUGAUUUAACAUCAUUCAAAUGAUCAUUGAAAUCAACUUUAAAUUUCAAUUUUCAUCUUUAAGGGAUUCAGUCUUGUUGUGCUUUUUCAGUUGUUUAAUGUUUCCAAUAUGUUACAAAUUGUUCAUUAUUAACGGCAACAAUUGAUUGACUGUUUGAUUUAAUUGUAAAUAUUAAUUGCAAUCUAUUCAAUGUUAGCCUUUUCACCACCAAAUAAACAUUAAUCUUUUGUAUUCAGCUUGUUACCAAUCAGUAAUAUAAAAUGAUUAGAUUGGCCUUAGGCCUAACCAUAGACUCAUUGUUUGCUUUACUCUUAACCAUCAGACUCAAGCUACUGAUUUCAUUAGACUUUUGCCUUCUCCACCUAAAUCAUCAUCAGUAUCUUAAUCAGUAUCUUCAUCAACAUCAUUUUCAUCAAAAUUGCAAACAUCAAUAUCGUCAUGAGUUUCAGUUUACUUCAUCAACAAUCUCUUAUCUGGUUUACUUUGAAAUCAACUCAACUAAUACUUCAUUUUUUACAUUCAAUUCAUGGUUUUCAAGCAAAACAUUUUCAAUUGUUGUUCAUUUAAACUGGUUAAACUCUUGAUUAGGUUAAUCAUCAUCAUUAUCAUUGUAAAAAGCCUCAAAGGCAAUCCAAUCAACUGGAAAAACAAACCUCUAACUGAUUUGCAUCCUUAUAGAUUGAAUUAGUGUUUAACCACGAUUAAACUAAAUUUCAAUUUUUUACUCUUUUUGUUUCUGUUUAAUUGUCCUCUUCAAUUGUCUCCUUUAACCAUAGACAUGAUAAUCAUGAUUCCCUGUGAUAAUCACAUAAAAGGUUAACUAUCAGUUGAAUCAAUUUGAUAUUACCUUUGGUUGUUGAAAAACAGUUAAAUAUUACAAUUGACUUAACUAUUGGAACCAAAAAGAGUCGAUCCUAAAGGUUACUUUUUCUUGGUGCUUUAUAUUUAAUCAUUAUUGUCCUUUUAUUGCUUAUCCGUGUCAGUUAAACAUAACAAUCAACUGACUACAGACACACAAUAACAAUAUAAACGUUGAUUGCCCAUUAACUGACUUAACUAUUAUUGAGUUGCUCUUUUUUUUGUUUCAAAUUUACAUUGGCUUUUCAUUUAGCUGCUCGAUUUAUUCAAUAAAAGUAUGAUUUUCAAGUUGAAUUGUAUGGCUAAUUGUGAUUACCUUUUUGCAAUUGAAAAUAAUCUCAAUGGCUUUUCAAUCAAGUAUUGAUCAAUCAAAUGCGAUGAAACUAUUAUCAAAUGAUUAGUAAGAUUUCUUUUAUUUUCAUUAAUCACGCUAAAUUGUUUUUGGGUGCUUCUCAACGAUUAAAUUGUAUUAUCACGAUCAGAGACUUGUAU